GUAUUGCAUUUUGCUCUUUCACCCUCUCCAAGGUGCUAUGGUUACUAUAUUGAUUCUAUCAUACUUGUGUGGUCAUUGGCAGUACUGCAGGGAAAGCUAUUGCCCUCUUCUGGAUUUUUUGGUUAUUGCAUGGGGAUCUAUUGCCCUUUUCUUGGUGCUUUAGGCACAAUAAUACAUAUUCAUAGAUGUUCUGGGUAUUACAUGGGUGAUCCAUUGUUGUCUUCUUUGGGAACACAACAUCGUCCCACAGAUGCUUUGGGAACUGUGUGACAAUCUAUUGGUGAUUUUAUAACUGCAAAGAGAUCUGCUGACUUCUUCUUGGUAACUGCCGUGGAAUCUAUUGCCCUCUUCUGGAUGCUUUGUUUAAGCAAGGAAGUCUAUCGUCAUCUCCUGGAUCUAUUGCUCAUAUCUGGUACCAGGAGCUGGUGUCACAGGAGUGGUUUCAAUCCCAUGCUCGGACUCUCCCACCCUGAGCAGAGCCGCUCCUUGGGUCAGGAAGAUCUGCAUGGACAUCGCAGUACAGCUUCAUUCCCAAUUGCAGUCACCCGCCCACCCACCCAGAAUCUCUCACAGCCCUCAAAGCCUCUGCCACCUAAGGAGACCAGCAGUGAAACCUAGCUUCACUGCCGCUGCAACUGAGAUGGCACAGGCUCAAUUGCAUGCCCUUACAAGUGCAAAACUGGCCCCGCCCCCGCCCCCGCCCCCGCCUCGCCCCAGCUCACAGCGUUUGGCCUCCCCCUCCCUGCUCCAGCUCUCUGCCCCUCCCUGGGCCGCUUAGCCCUGCUGGGCUGCAGGUCCCUCAGCCACUGCCUCCACCGCCCCUGCCCAGGGCCCGAAGAGCAGGCAGUGGCUCUGUACUGGAUACUGCCACUGGAGGCUGCAACGCCCGGAGCCGGCUACUGCCCUGCUGGUUUACAAAACCGUUUCUUUUAAUGAAAUCCCGCCCAUUUUAACCUUGUAUAGUAGCCACUUUGAGAAGUUUCAGAUUACAUCGCAAUGUAU
rnacentral:lncRNA from 1 species